rnacentral:rRNA from 1 species
UACGGAGGGUGCGAGCGUUGUCCGGAAUCACUGGGCGUAAAGGGCGCGUAGGCGGCGCGACAAGUCAGUGGUGAAAGCCCGAGCUCAACUUCGGGUCGGCCACUGAUACUGUCGGGCUCGAGCACUGUAGAGGCAGGUGGAAUCCGGGUGUAGCGGUGGAAUGCGUAGAGAUCCGGAAGAACACCGGUGGCGAAGGCGGCCUGCUGGGCAGUAGCUGACGCUGAGGCGCGACAGCGUGGGGAGCAAACAGG